rnacentral:rRNA from 1 species
CGGUGUUUAACUGGCGUGAUGUGGGACGUCCUACCGGUGGGCUUAGCCUCGCGAGGGGCGGCCCAACUAAUAUCCCGUCGCGGUGCUCUUUACUGAGUGUCGAGUCGGGCCGGUACGUUUACUUUGAACAAAUUAGAGUGUUUAAAGCAGGCUAUCCUCGCCUGAAUACUGCGUGCAUGGAAUAAUGGAAUAGGACCUCGGUUCUAUUUUGUUGGUUUUCGGAACCCCGAGGUAAUGAUUAAUAGGGACAGAUGGGGGCAUUCGUAUUGCGACGUUAGAGGUGAAAUUCUUGGAUCGUCGCAAGACGGACAGAAGCGAAAGCAUUUGCCAAAAAUGUUUUCAUUAAUCAAGAACGAAAGUUAGAGGUUCGAAGGCGAUCAGAUACCGCCCUAGUUCUAACCAUAAACGAUGCCAGCUAGCGAUCCGCCGAAGUUCCUCCGAUGACUCGGCGGGCAGCUUCCGGGAAACCAAAGCUUUUGGGUUCCGGGGGAAGUAUGGUUGCAAAGCUGAAACUUAAAGGAAUUGACGGAAGGGCACCACCAGGAGUGGAGCCUGCGGCUUAAUUUGACUCAACACGGGAAACCUCACCAGGCCCAGACACCGGAAGGAUUGACAGAUUGAUAGCUCUUUCUUGAUUCGGUGGGUGGUGGUGCAUGGCCGUUCUUAGUUGGUGGAGCGAUUUGUCUGGUUAAUUCCGAUAACGAACGAGACUCUAGCCUGCUAAAUAGGCGUACCUUAUGGUAUCGCGAAGGCCCCCGGCUUCGGCCGGUGGGUUUUUACUACCAACGUACAAACAAAUCUUCUUAGAGGGACAGGCGG